AAAAAGAAGGCGGCAGAACCCGCGGCCAAGAGGCGCAGGCCGCGGGACCGGGAUGGCGAGCUCGUCGGCGACGGGGAUCUCAUCAGCAAACUCCCCGAUGACAUCCUCGGCACCAUCAUCUCCCUCCUCCCCACCAAAGACGGCGCGCGCACGCAGGCCAUCGCCCGCAGAUGGCGUCCCCUCUGGCGCUCCUCGCCUCUCAACAUUCAUGGUGCCCAUUCCCUCUGCUCCAACGCCUUCAAGUGCUUCUCCGUCGUCUCCAGGAUCCUCGCCGACCACCCUGGCCCCGCCCGCCGCUUCCACUUCCACCACAUCCUCCUCCACAAAGACAAGAAACGGCAUGCCGAGGAAGCCGCUCAGGUCGACAACUGGUUCCAUUCCCGAGCCCUUGACAAGCUUCAGGAGCUCGACAUCAGCUUUGAGUUCUUGGGCUAUGAACCUCGGAAGCUUUACCCGCUGCCACCAUCCGUGUUCCGCUUGGCAUCCCUCCUCGUGGCCACAUUCAGCUUCUGCGAAUUCCCAAGUCAGAUUGCUCCUUCACUGAGUUUUCCCACCCUCAAGCAGCUCACCCUGUUUCGCGUUUUCAUCUGCGAGGAUGUCUUUUGGCGGGUGCUCUCUGCCUGCAAUGUCUUGGAGUCACUUGAAUUGACGGACAUUUGUGAUGCGAAUUGCUCGCGCUUGGGCAUUAGCUCCAAAAGUCUUAGGAGCGUGAGCCUCUGCGCUUGUUUUUCAGGCAAAGGAGAAUUGUUCAUUGAGGACGCCCCUCUCCUUGAAAGGCUGCUAUUACCUUGUCCGGGUGCAGGCAGUGAUACUGUCCGGGUAAUUAAGGCACCUAAACUGGAGAUAUUAGGCCCUUUGUCUCCCUGCAUCCCUGAAAUUGAGAUUGCUAAUAUAUUCUUCAAGAGUUUGAUCCCAACAAGCUUGAAUAAUACCAUAGACACAAUGAAGGCUUUGGCUCUCGAGUUUUCGGCCACCGAUUUGAAUGCUGUUAUUGAUGUCUUAAGAUGCUUCCCCUGCUUGGAGAAGCUUCAUGUCAUUUGGAAGAAACACAACUUAAAGAUAGGUAUGAAAGAUGCACGUCAAUAUGACUCACAAGAUCCAGUCAAAUGCCUUGAGACGCAUCUAAAAAAACUGGUGUUGAAAAAUUACCUAGCCAGUAAGCAAGGUGUUGGAUUUGCCAAGUUCUUUGUUUUGAACGCAAAGUUGCUGAAGGAAAUCAAAUUUGGGGUCCUAUAA
rnacentral:rRNA from 1 species